rnacentral:rRNA from 1 species
CCUACGGGAGGCAGCAGUGAGGAAUAUUGGUCAAUGGCCUGAAGGCUGAACCAGCCAAGCCGCGUGAAGGACGAAGGUGCCAAGCAUUGUAAACUUCUUUUGUCAAGGGACAAAAUCAGGCUCGAGAGCCUGACCGAGGGUACUUGAAGAAAAAGCAUCGGCUAACUCCGUGCCCGCAGCCGCGGUAAUACGGAGGAUGCGAGCGUUAUCCGGAUUUAUUGGGUUUAAAGGGUGCGUAGGCGGACUGUUAAGUCAGCGGUAAAAGGCCGGGGCUCAACCCCGGCGAGCCGUUGAAACGGGCUGUCUUGAGAUGUCGAGAGGUAUGCGGAAUGCGCAGUGUAGCGGUGAAAUGCUUAGAUAUUGCGCAGAACUCCGAUUGCGAAGGCAGCAUACCGGCGGCGAUCUGACGCUGAGGCACGAAAGCGUGGGUAUCGAACAGGAUUAGAUACCCUUGUAGUC